GGGGUUGUGGCUCAUGGGAAGAGCACUGGCCUAGCAAGCCUGAGGCACUGGGUUCAAUUUUCAGCAACACAU
rnacentral:tRNA from 1 species